AUUGAACGCUGGCGGCAGGCCUAACACAUGCAAGUCGAGCGGUAGCACAGGAGAGCUUGCUCUCUGGGUGACGAGCGGCGGACGGGUGAGUAAUGUCUGGGAAACUGCCUGAUGGAGGGGGAUAACUACUGGAAACGGUAGCUAAUACCGCAUAACGUCUACGGACCAAAGUGGGGGACCUUCGGGCCUCAUGCCAUCAGAUGUGCCCAGAUGGGAUUAGCUAGUAGGUGGGGUAAUGGCUCACCUAGGCGACGAUCCCUAGCUGGUCUG
rnacentral:rRNA from 1 species